rnacentral:rRNA from 1 species
AACGAACGCUGGCGGCAGGCUUAACACAUGCAAGUCGAACGCCCCGCAGGGGGAGUGGCAGACGGGUGAGUAACACGUGGGAACCUUCCUCGUUGUACGGAACAACUCAGGGAAACUUGAGCUAAUACCGUAUACGUCCGAGAGGAGAAAGAUUUAUCGCAAUGAGACGGGUGCGCGUCGGAUUAGCUAGUUGGUGGGGUAACGGCCUACCAAGGCAACGAUCCGUAGCUGAUCUGAGAGGAUGAUCAGCCACACUGGGACUGAGACACGGCCCAGACUCCUACGGGAGGCAGCAGUGGGGAAUCUUGGACAAUGGGCGCAAGCCUGAUCCAGCCAUGCCGCGUGAGUGAAGAAGGCCUUCGGGUUGUAAAGCUCUUUUGUCAGGGACGAUAAUGACGGUACCUGAAGAAUAAGCCCCGGCAAACUUCGUGCCAGCCGCCGCAGUAA